AUUGAACGCUGGCGGCAGGCCUAACACAUGCAAGUCGAGCGAGCGGCGGACGGGUGAGUAAUGCCUGGGAAUUGCCCCGACGAUGGGGAUUACAGUUGUAAACGACUUCUUAUAUCGCAUACGUUUGGAUUGCCCAUGUGUGAUUUGCUAGUUGGUGGGGUAUUGGGUCACCAAGGCCACGAUCCCUGGCUGGUCUGAGAGGAUGAGCAGCCACACUGGAACGGAGACACGGUCCAGACGACUACGGGAGGCAGCAGUGGGGAAUAUUGCACCAUGGGGGAAACCCUGAUGCAGCCAUGCUGAGUGUGGGAAGAAGGCCUUCGGGUUGUAGAGCACUUUCAGCGAGGAGGCGUUACUCGCAGAAGAAGCACCGGCUAACUCCGUGCCAGCAGCCGCGGUAAUUC
rnacentral:rRNA from 1 species